rnacentral:rRNA from 1 species
AUGGAGGCGGCCAUGAUCCCCUUGAUCAAGAAGCUCCGUGGCCUGCUCGCAAACGAGUACAACCUGGAGAAACGCGUGAGGAAAGGCGUGAAAUCUCUCAUCACGGAGUUGGAGAUGAUGCACGCGGUUCUAAGCAAGAUCGGCACCAAGCCGGCCGAGCAGUUGGACGAGCAGGUCCUCAUGUGGGCGGGCAAAGUGAGGGAGCUCUCCUACCGCAUGGAGGACGCUGUCGACGGUUUCCUCGUGCGCGUGGAGGACGUCGGCCAUGAUCAUGGCUCCAACAACAUGAAGAACAGAGUCAAGAAGUUCCUCAAAAGGGCUACCAAAUUGUUUACCAAGGGUAAGGCUCUUCAUCAGAUUUCCAAUGACAUUGAAGAAGCUCAGUGGCUCUCCCAGGAGUUGGGUGACCUGCGCCAAAAGUAUAUGAGUGACGCGGACACCAAAGGUAAUGGUGAUGCCAUUGACCCUCGCCUCAAGGCGGUGUACAAAGAUGUCACAGAGCUUGUUGGGAUAGAUCACAUCAGAGAUGAGCUGAUCGAGAAGCUGUGUGACGGCAAUGAGAGGUCCAAGGACCAAUUAAGGACCAUGUCUAUUGUUGGAUUUGGCGGACUGGGCAAGACAACUGUGGCCAAAGCAGUGUAUGACAAGAUCAAAGUGCAGUUUGAUAGUGUAGCUUUUGUUUCCGUGUCUCGGACUCCUGACAUGACCAAGAUUUUCAAGAAGAUCUUAUAUGAACUUGACAAGAGCAAGUAUGCUACCAUCAACGAAGCUGCUAGGGACCAUGAACAACUCCUCGAUGAAUUGAGGAAUUUUCUUCAGGAUAAGAGGUACCUUAUUGUAAUUGACGACAUAUGGGAUGAAGAAGCAUGGGGAUUGAUCAAGUGUGUUUUCUCCAACAACUACCUUGGUAGUCGAGUAAUGACUACCACCCGCAUUGGCAGUAUCUCUGAAGCAUGUUGCUCUUCUGGUGAUGAUAUAAUAUAUCAGAUGAAACCACUUACUGAUGAUCACUCCAAAAGACUCUUCUACAAAAGAAUAUUUCCUCAAGGAAUUAAGUGUCCCGAUGAGUUGGAGAAGGUAUCUAGAGAAAUCUUAAAAAAAUGUGGUGGAGUACCACUAGCCAUAAUCACUAUUGCUAGUAUUUUAGCUAGUAAUGGUCAAGAUCAACAGAUAAAGCCAAAGUAUCAAUGGGACAACAUACUUGGCUCUAUUGGUCGUGGACUUGCAGGAGGUGGAGGUGCAAAGGACAUGCAGAGAAUAUUGUCCUUUAGUUAUUACGAUUUACCUUCUCAUUUGAAGACUUGUUUAUUAUAUCUCAGUAUAUUUCCAGAGGAUUUUGAGAUAAGGAGAGACCGGCUGAUAUGGAUGUGGAUAGCCGAGGGCUUUGUGCAAGGUGGAGAACAAGAAACUGGACUAUUUGAGCUUGGAGAGAGUUACUUCAAUGAGCUCGCAAAUAGAAACUUGAUUCAACCAGUACAUGUUGAUGCUACCGGCAAGGCGGGAGCUUGUCGCGUGCAUGAUAUGGUGCUUGAUCUGUUAUGUUCCCUGUCUAGUGAACAAAACUUUGCUACAAUAUUAGAUGGUACACAACAAAGCAAAUCUAUUUCACAUAGCAAGAGUCGCAGAUUAUCUUUUCAAAAUAGCAUGUCAGAGCCCACCACCAAUCUGGUCGAUGCAAAAAGUAUGCCACAAGUGAGGUCUGUUGUUCUUUUUAGAACAAAUAUUGAUCUAAUCCGAACUAUUUCAUGCUUUCAAGUUUUACGUGUAUUGGAUUUAGAAGGUUGUGAUCUUGGGAGAAAUGGCCAUGAUGUUGAUCUCAGGUAUAUUGACAAUUUAUUACACCUAAGGUAUCUAGGGCUCAGAAGCACUUUUGUUCGUGAGCUCCCUGUGGAAGUAGGAAAGCUACAGUUUUUGGAGACACUCGACUUAGCAGAAAAUGGAUCAAGUAUACGAGUGAUUCCGCCAAGUGUUGUCCGUCUAAAAUGUUUGAUAUUCCUAGAUGCACAAGACGCGGUGUUACCCGUUGGGAUCGGGAACCUGACGUCCCUAGAAGAGCUGACUGGAAAAUUGGUGGAUGUGAAAGAGCUAGGGCAACUGGUCAAGCUGAGAGUGCUCUACCUUUGCUGGAAUGGGAGCGAUGAGAGUGUGUGUAAUUCUUUGGUGGAGUCCCUGAGCAAGCUGCAGAAAAUGCAGAGUCUAACAAUUUUCGGUUGUGCAUGGCGUGCAAGGUCUGAUGUCAGCUGGGAUGGCUUUGUGCCCACCCCACAGCUUCGGUACCUCUUGUUUACAAGGUGCACCACGACAUUGCCUAGGUGGGUUAAUUCAUCAUUGGUUCCCCUCCUCUCAUACAUGCAUGUUUCAGUGGACAGAGUGCGUCCGGAAGUUGAUAUUCAGAUCCUUGUCCCACUCUUCGUUAUCUCUUCCUGUCGACCAACAAAGAUCAACACACUCGUGUCGAAACAUUCGUUGUUGGCGCUAAUGCAUUCCCAUGUUUGA